UGGUAACCGUAAAACGCUGGUAGACUUAAUACAUGUUCAUUCUUGGCUGACGCACCAGGCUGUUAUCUGUGGACUGUCCUCUGAAAAUAACAAUGGAGGAAAAAAACAUGAUGAAAUCCUACACUGCAGCUGUUCCUCGCUUUGUUCUGGAGGGCCUGAGUGUGGAUAAGAGAUGAGAGAGAUGCAGGCCGGCGGAAUAAAAAGAAGGAGAACCGAGGGAGGAAAUGAGGGUGUGAAAGGGGAGGGGACUGAUGAGAUUAUCAAGCAGGAUGGAGGAAUCUACGAUGUUGAUUCAGUGCACAAAUCAAUUAGAUUCCUGCGAAUUCCUAAAUAGUCGAAUGAUCAGAGAAAUCGCUGCAGAAAGUUUUAACAACUUUCCGACUCGCUCACAAUGGCUGAUUUUCUGUCCGGCAGAUGAUUGUGACCAAAACUAAACCUUUUUUUUUUCUUCUUCUUCACUUUUCGACUAAAACCCAAAACAAACACUUCAAUAUUUACAUCCCUGAAAAAUGUACAUGAAUACACAAGAAUUAUAGUCUUCUGUCUGGCUCACAGAUAGUGUAAAAGGGGUGAGGAUGAUGAGUUAGCCCAAAGCCCAAGAAGUUCACCAUGACUUGAGCCCAUAUAAAGUUUAAAGUGUACUCUAUCUAUCCACUGACAUAAAUCUUUACCUACUGCAACACCCAGAAUACAACAGUUGAUUGAGGGCUGGUUGGUUGUUGUAUGUCCAGCACAUUUGGAAAUGAGACAUGACGCCCUGAGGAGAAGGAGAGACACAGAUAUAGUGUAGCAUGUCCAGGACUCAGUCCAGAGGCUGGCAGAGGCCUGUCUGCCCCUGCAGCCGCUCAAAGUGCUGUCCAAAAGCACUGACUCUGCCCCCCAGAGCAAUAAACAGCUAAAAUGAGGAGACAGAAGUCCCAUGUCAGACGUCAGGAUUUCUCUUAAGAUGCUAGUUUACCUGCAGAGACUACAGAGACAGUUUUCACAAAAUGUUGCCCUUUGAUUUGCACUUUAAAAUUGAAGUGGUACAAGUUCAGUAGUAUUACAGUGGUCUGUGUAUUUUACAAUCGCUCCAGGUAAUUUGUCUGUAUGUUAUGCCCAGUGGCCUAAUGCUGUUAAUAUGAAGUCCCCUUUCUUCUCUCUUCCCCAAACUAUAAAUAGAAAACCAACAA